rnacentral:rRNA from 1 species
CCUACGGGGGGCAGCAGUGAGGAAUAUUGGUCAAUGGACGAGAGUCUGAACCAGCCAAGUAGCGUGAAGGAUGACUGCCCUAUGGGUUGUAAACUUCUUUUAUAUGGGAAUAAAACGUUCCACGUGUGGGAUUUUGUAUGUACCAUAUGAAUAAGGAUCGGCUAACCCCGUGCCAGCAGCCGCGGUAAUACGGAGGAUCCGAGCGUUAUCCGGAUUUAUUGGGUUUAAAGGGAGCGUAGGUGGAUUGUUAAGUCAGUUGUGAAAGUUUGCGGCUCAACCGUAAAAUUGCAGUUGAAACUGGCAGUCUUGAGUACAGUAGAGGUGGGCGGAAUUCGUGGUGUAGCGGUGAAAUGCUUAGAUAUCACGAAGAACUCCGAUUGCGAAGGCAGUUCACUGGACUGCAACUGACACUGAGGCUCGAAAGUGUGGGUAUCAAACAGGAUUAGAUACCCCUGUAGUC